rnacentral:rRNA from 1 species
GACGAACGCUGGCGGCGUGCUUAACACAUGCAAGUCGAGCGGUAAGGCCCUUUCGGGGGUACACGAGCGGCGAACGGGUGAGUAACACGUGGGUGACCUGCCCUCAGCUCUGGGAUAAGCCUGGGAAACUGGGUCUAAUACUGGAUAUGACUCCACGGUGCAUGUCGUGGGGUGGAAAGCCUUGUGCGGCUGAGGAUGGGCCCGCGGCCUAUCAGCUUGUUGGUGGGGUGAUGGCCUACCAAGGCGACGACGGGUAGCCGGCCUGAGAGGGCGACCGGCCACACUGGGACUGAGACACGGCCCAGACUCCUACGGGAGGCAGCAGUGGGGAAUAUUGGACAAUGGGCGCAAGCCUGAUCCAGCGAUGCCGCGUGUGUGAAGAAGGCCUGCGGGUUGUAAAGCACUUUCAGUAGGGAAGAAAAGCCGAGUGCUAAUAUCACUCGGUCUUGACGUUAC